rnacentral:rRNA from 1 species
GUUAAGCGACUAAGCGUACACGGUGGAUGCCCUGGCAGUCAGAGGCGAUGAAGGACGUGCUAAUCUGCGAUAAGCGUCGGUAAGGUGAUAUGAACCGUUAUAACCGGCGAUUUCCGAAUGGGGAAACCCAGUGUGAUUCGUCACACUAUCAUUAACUGAAUCCAUAGGUUAAUGAGGCGAACCGGGGGAACUGAAACAUCUAAGUACCCCGAGGAAAAGAAAUCAACCGAGAUUCCCCCAGUAGCGGCGAGCGAACGGGGAGCAGCCCAGAGCCUGAAUCAGUGUGUGUGUUAGUGGAAGCGUCUGGAAAGGCGCGCGAUACAGGGUGACAGCCCCGUACACAAAAAUGCACAUACUGUGAGCUCGAUGAGUAGGGCGGGACACGUGGUAUCCUGUCUGAAUAUGGGGGGACCAUCCUCCAAGGCUAAAUACUCCUGACUGACCGAUAGUGAACCAGUACCGUGAGGGAAAGGCGAAAAGAACCCCGGCGAGGGGAGUGAAAAAGAACCUGAAACCGUGUACGUACAAGCAGUGGGAGCACAGAGCAAUC